AAACUUUUAACAACGGAUCUCUUGGUUCUGGCCUCCAAUGAAGAACGCAGCGAAAUGCGAUAAGUAAUGUGAAUUGCAGAAUUCAGUGAAUCAUCGAAUCUUUGAACGCACAUUGCGCCCGCCAGCAUUCUGGCGGGCAUGCCUGUUCGAGCGUCAUUU
rnacentral:rRNA from 1 species